UACGGAGGGUGCAAACGUUGCUCGGAAUUAUUGGGCGUAAAGCGCACGUAGGCGGACCAGCAAGUCGGAUGUGAAAUCCCUCGGCUUAACCGAGGACGUGCAUCGGAAACUGCUGGCCUUGAGUACGAAAGAGGAUCGCGGAAUUCCCGGUGUAGAGGUGAAAUUCGUAGAUAUCGGGAGGAACACCAGUGGCGAAGGCGGCGAUCUGGGUCGAUACUGACGCUGAGGUGCGAAAGCGUGGGGAGCGAACAGG
rnacentral:rRNA from 1 species